ensembl:lncRNA novel transcript, antisense to SAMD12
CUGACCAUCAUGACCUUAUGGUUUUGGGUGUGCACCUGGCUUGCAGCAGAACUGGCUGGGAUGGCUUCAUAACUUCCCUUCUAACAAUAUAACAAUAUGCUUCUGUAAAUUUUCACACUGAAUUGGACAAGAAUCAGAAUAUCCUGUUUUGAACAUCUGCACAGAUUGACAAGUGCCAAGACUGAGGCUCAGAGAAAUGAAAUAACAUGCCAAAGGUCACAGUGUCUAGUGGAGCUGGGGCCAAAUUCAGAUUAAUAACACACAGGAAAAACCCUCAACUUCUUUCAUUCGCCUGUUGAGAUAAAGGGAAAGAGAGUCCCCAUCCAGGCCUGCAGGAGAGGGAGAACUGGUGGAUGCAAAUGAAAAAGCAGAGGCAUUCCUCAGGGUCUUGCUCUGCCACCCA